rnacentral:rRNA from 1 species
UCCUACGGGGGGCAGCAGUGAGGAAUAUUGGUCAAUGGGCGAAAGCCUGAUGGAGCAACGCCGCGUGGGUGAAGAAGGUCUUCGGAUCGUAAAACCCUGUUGUUAGAGAAGAAAGUGCGUGAGAGUAACUGUUCACGUUUCGACGGUAUCUAACCAGAAAGCCACGGCUAACUACGUGCCAGCAGCCGCGGUAAUACGUAGGUGGCAAGCGUUAUCCGGAUUUAUUGGGCGUAAAGGGAACGCAGGCGGUCUUUUAAGUCUGAUGUGAAAGCCUUCGGCUUAACCGGAGUAGUGCAUUGGAAACU